ACGGGAGGCAGCAGUGGGGAAUAUUGGGCAAUGGGGGAAACCCUGACCCAGCGACGCCGCGUGAGGGAAGACGGUCUUCGGAUUGUAAACCUCUGUCUUUCGGGACGAUAAUGACGGUACCGAAGGAGGAAGCCACGGCUAACUACGUGCCAGCAGCCGCGGUAAUACGUAGGUGGCAAGCGUUGUCCGGAAUUACUGGGUGUAAAGGGAGCGUAGGCGGGGGAGCAAGUUGAAUGUGAAAUCUAUGGGCUUAACCCAUAAAUUGCGUUCAAAACUGUUCUUCUUGAGUGAAGUAGAGGCAAGCGGAAUUCCUAGUGUAGCGGUGGAAUGCGUAGAUAUUAGGAGGAACACCAGUGGCGAAGGCGGCUUGCUGGGCUUUUACUGACGCUGAGGCUCGAAAGCGUGGGGAGCAAACAGGAUUAGAUACCCUGGUA
rnacentral:rRNA from 2 species